UUCGUAAGUGACUGCGGAGGAUCAUUAUUGAAUAAAAAACUCAGGCAGGGGGGAGUGUGGUUGUAGCUGGCCCCUAAUAAGGGCAUGUGCACACUGCUCUCUUUCUCUUGUUUGUUUUUUUCAUUCUUUCCACUUGUGCACUGCUUGUAGGCAGCCUGGCAUUGUUCGGGUUGUCUAUGAUUUUCUUUUACAUACAUGAAUCAUUGUUGAACAGAAUGUGAUAAAAAAUAAUAAUACAACUUUCAACAACGGAUCUCUUGGCUCUCGCAUCGAUGAAGAACGCAGCGAAAUGCGAUAAGUAAUGUGAAUUGCAGAAUUCAGUGAAUCAUCGAAUCUUUGAACGCAUCUUGCGCUCCUUGGUAUUCCGAGGAGCAUGCCUGUUUGAGUGUCAUUAAAUUCUGUCAAAACAUGCACUUGAGUGUGUGUUUUGGAUUGUGGGAGUGUCUGCUGGCUUUAAAUGAGUCAGCUCUCCUGAAAGACAUUAGCUUUGGAGGGAUGUGCCAAGUCGCUUCUGCCUUUCCAUUGGUGUGAUAGACGAAUAAACUUAUCUACGCCAGGAAAGCAGGUUUCAGGUGAUGCACUGUGAUCUCUCUGCUCUCUAAUUGACAUUGUCUGAUAACUGACCUCAAAUC
rnacentral:rRNA from 1 species